rnacentral:rRNA from 1 species
ACUCAAAGGAAUUGACGGGGGCCCGCACAAGCGGUGGAGCAUGUGGAUUAAUUCGAGGCAACGCGAAGAACCUUACCAAGGCUUGACAUCCCCUUGCCGUCCUCGGAGACGAGGAUUUCUUCGGACAAGGGAGACAGGUGGUGCAUGGUUGUCGUCAGCUCGUGUCGUGAGAUGUUGGGUUAAGUCCCGCAACGAGCGCAACCCUCGCCCUUAGUAGCCAUCGGUUAAAGCCGGGCACUCUAGGGGGACCGCCGCGGAGAACGCGGAGGAAGGCGGGGACGACGUCAAAUCAUCAUGCCCCUUAUGUCUUGGGCUUCACACGUGCUACAAUGGGCGGAACAAAGUGAGGCGAAGCCGCGAGGCGGAGCAAACCACGAAACCCGCCCCCAGUUCGGAUUGCAGGCUGCAACCCGCCUGCAUGAAGUUGGAAUCGCUAGUAAUCGCGGAUCAGCACGCCGCGGUGAAUACGUUCCCGGGCCUUGUACACACCGCCCGU